AUUAAAGAAAUCAAUUUGUCUUUCCAUUAUUAUACGGAGGAAAAAGAUGAAUUUUCAUAGCAAUGUUCAAACUUUAGAGUGAAAAGUCAUUUUGCCUCUCGUCAACACAUCUCUCCUCAUAGUUUGCCCUAAAUCGACACACCAACCAUCGACGGUUCGGCACUAGUGUCGUCGGUCCAUCGUCGCUCCAAACCCUCCCAUCGACGCACAUUUGGUCUCCACUCGAAGUCAAACAGAUAAUAUCAUAGCAACUAGAAACAUGACUUUCUCAACAAACAGAAAAGCUUGAUUUUCUAUCAUUAACCUAAAAGUGUCCGUCUUCUCUCGCCUAACAGCUGACGCUCCUCCACAUCGCGCCUUUCCAAAUUCGCAGCUCCUUCCAUCGCCUCCGACAUCUCCACCGUCCCACCCCUCCCACACCUCCGGCGCCACCAUCGCACAGCAGAACUCCGACUCCUCUGCAGGAUCUUCAGAUGCUAAGGAGCAGAUUCAUAAGCUCACACACGUUCCCAGGAGUUGGAGAAGCAGGUGGAGAAACUACAGUUGAAAUUCGAUCUCAAACCCAGGAUAAUGGAGGCUUUGGAAACUAGAUUGAAAGAAUUGGAGCAGAAGAUGCUUGAUAUAAAUCCAAAGCUUCAAGAGAAAAACUGGUGUUGACAAAAUAUCAAAGAAUACAUAAACUUGUAGAUUUUGUCAAAGAUAAAGAGCAAGAUAAAGAUUUGCUAAAACAGGUAGUUACCGAGAUAAUGAUUGCCAAAGCAGGGGCAUAUUGUUAGAUGGCUCCAGACUCCAGAUAUUAGGACACUAAGGCAAGGAGAAAAGAAGCAUUACAACCAAAAAGUAGACGGAUAUAUCUUUACAAUUGUAUUAUGGGAACUUUUACACAACAAACUACCCUUUGAGGAUAUGUACAACCUCCAAGCUGCUUAUCUGCAACUUUCAAGGUAAAAAAGUAAUUUUUAUAUCAUCUCCUAAAGGGUAAAAUAGUAAAACAAGAGGGGUAUAAUUGUAAUUUUUACUUGCUUUUUAUCAUUCAAAAUGUGAGUCUAAGUUUUGGAAGAUCUACCAGAAGAUUUAGCCAUGAUUAUGAGUUCAUGUUGGAUGGAGGACUCAGAUUCUCUCAAUUCAGUUACAUUAUUUUUCGACAAUUUUGAGUUUUCUAGUUAAUCAGCUAGUGAAUUCCAUGCUUAGAAGAGGUGGUUUCCGAACGCCAUUAAAACCACGAGAAGCAACACCAUUUCUUACUCCAUCUCUUGGACAAGGAAUAGUCAACACAUCAUCUUUGACUCACCAACCUCAACCUGCUUCUCUGGGGCUCUUCUUUUUGCUGCUUGCUAACACUACAUGUAAACAUUAAUCUAUUUCUUGAUAAUGUCUUUUUGAUAUACAGAUAGAUUAAAUUGCAGAUUCUGAGCAUAUCUUGAAGAGAGCAACAAGGCCUUUGUGAUAUCAGAGGAGAGGUUAAGGAUGGCAUAUCAUGCUUGAAAGCAGCAAAACAAGGCGGUGGAUUGCAAUGAAACUUAUUUGUUCCUUUGUUGGCAAUGAGAUGCAAUUUUAUUUUAUUUUUUACUUUUUUAUAUUUUCAUGGCAAAUAGAGGUUGAAUCCAUUUUCUUUGAAUAUUUUGUAUUAUCCUUUGUCUAAAUUUGAAUAUAUGAUAUUUUUACUUUAGUCA